CUUGACACAGGGUCAUUUUGACAUGACCUAAAUAUCAAGCCAGUAAGUUGUCAGUGUGUAUUGUGAUGCCUUAGCAUGCUGCAGGGAGAUGGGGAGGGGGUGACGGGACAUGUGCAGUAGCAUCAAGGAUGGAGGAGGCUCAGGACUAAGACACAGAAUGAGGAGAAGGUCAGAAAUAGUAAAGGGUCAGGGAUACCAUGGUUGCACUCAGUACUGGAAAUCCACCCAGUUGGAGGAGAACUUAAAUGUGCUUCCUGGGAUGAGCAGCAGUUAUACAAUAAACAAGAAGAAACUGAGUAAGUUACCAGAUUUGGGGCUCUUGUUUGAAAAAAAAAAAAGUGGGCCCUGGCUAUGAGCACUUGGCAGAAAAAGGAAGUAGGGCAGGAAAGUAAAGUUUCAGAACUAAGAGAUGAUUGUCAAACUUGAAUUCUGUGAUUAGGUAUUAGGGAAGCACUCAUUCCUUGCUGUCCCUCUUCACUCCACAGUGUUCCCUCUGGUAUAAGGUAGAACUAGUAAGACAUGAGCCAUCUUGGGUCCUCUCCAGGCAGGGGUUGGUUGGCAAGCUCUUUUGUUAAAGAGUCAGAUAGUAAAUAUUUUAUGAUAUGCAGGACAGGUGGUCUCUGUCACAACUACUCAGUUCUGCUGUCAUGACACAUAAGUAGCUAUUGACUGUAUAUAGAUGAAUAAACAUGGCUGUGUCCUAAUAAAACUUUAUUUA
rnacentral:lncRNA from 1 species